rnacentral:lncRNA from 1 species
UGAUUUGUGCAUGUUUCUACUCUCUCAUAACAUGAUCAACACAGUCAGAUUCUCCUUCAGCACUGGAAUAAGUUACUGAUUCUUGCUGUGCCUCAGGAAUCAGAGCUGGUUCGUGUUUAGGGGCUUUUUUCAGUUCUGUGCUUGGACCUGGGAAAGAGGAGCCCCUGGCCUGGGCCCUGUGUUUCAGACAGCCUUCCUGAAUAUCACACAAAAAAGUAAAUACAUGUUUUAAAAACACAUGACUACUUCCAUCACUUGGAAUCCAGAGCUCAGUACUAGAACUGUGUGAUACAUAAUCAAGGCGGGCUACAUAAUCUGGAUGGCUCGGAGCAAAAUAAAAAUGUUUCUUUUACAAAAAGCAGACAAAAUGCUAUGAAAUAAACACAUGAAAUGUUUUUCCUUCUUCCAGGGUCUCUCUCUCCUGUCAUGUUGUUUUUAUCUGUUCUUUAAUGCUGUUCUAAGUAAGGAAAUUUAAAAUUACUAGCAUGAAUCUUCUUCUUCUUUAUAUUGUGCAACUCCAGUUUCAAAUACAAACAUCAGAGCAUUUAACUUGCAUGCAAACUCACUGAAAUUACACCAUCUACAUUUUGUGGCUCAACCCCCGGAGCUGGCCAAAAGAGACAAACACAAGCCAGACCCAGAAAAAAAUAGAAGAAGGAAGAGAGGAUUCCCCCCAAGGGCAUGGAGCCAGGUGAGGGAGUGCUUGGUAGGGAGAUUGGAGUUGGGAGUAUAGCCCCACACUACUGUCUGGGAGGCUCUGCCCUCCAUGAGUCUCUCACACACUUGCUGGACCUGACAGCCACUGGGUUUCCAGUUCUACCAGCCCAGCCACUGAAGGCAUGUGCAGAACCCAGGCCAGGGGCGGGAUCUGAAGAAGCUGAGCUCUGCCUUUCUCUUUCCUACCCGUCCCACUCCCCAACUCAAGGCAGAUUGGCAGCCCCACAAGGAUUGUUGAAAGUUUGCACCUGAAGGUGCCUGUUACCUGGAUCCAGGAUGGGGGAAGCCAGCUGCCAUGUUGUGAGCAACCCUAUGGAGAGACCCUCGUGGUGGGCACUGAGGCCUCUGCCAGCAAUAAGCUGAGGAGCAGAUCCUUUAUCCCACUCAAGCCUUUGGAUGACUUCAGCCUUUGCCAAGACCUUUGAGUGCAACCAUAUGAGAUAACCCAAGCCAGAAGCACUAGCUAAGCCACUCCUGGAUCCCUGCUCCUCAAAGAUUCUGUGACAUAAUAUACGUAUUUUUAAUUUAAAGUACAACACUUUGGGGGUGACUUGUUAUGCUGCAAUAGAUAACUAACAUGACCAUAUAACAAUAGGAAUAAUAACCAACAAAUCAGGUCCCUUUUCUUCAUCAGAAGGAUUUCAUGAUAUUGCUCAGGUCUAGACUUGGGUAUGGCGAUUCCAAUGGAGUGACUUCAUCCUUCUGACUCAGCAUCUAACUUCUGAUGCUACAUUGUCCAUUUACUGGAAAACUUGUUGCUUAUUCCAUGUUGCCUUCAUUAAUUGCCACUACUGAUACCUAGUACACCAGUCUCAAGAGCAGCUAUUCAGAAGACAAAGGUCUCUGAUAGAAACAGAUGUUCUGUUCAUCUUUUUUGCUGCUUAUAUUAAACCAUUGCAACAGAUUUGUUGCCUUGAUUCUGAUUGUAGAUGUUUUGCACAAAUUAUAUCCCUUUUUAAGUGGCAACAACCACUCCUAGAAUACAUACACAGCAUGAUCAAACCCUCAUCAUUUACACCUCAGUCCUGAGCCACUUGUUUUUUUUUGCUUUUUGUUUUAUGUUUUUUUUUUUGAGACGGAGCUCGCUUUGUUGUCCAGGGUGGAAUGCAGUGGCGCGAUCUCGGCUCACUGCAAGCUCCGCCUCCCGGGUUCACGCCAUUCUCCUGCGUCAGCCUCCUGAGUAGCAGGGACUACAGGUGUGUGCCAUCAUGCCCGGCUAAUUUUUUGUAUCUUUAGUAGAGACAGGGUUUCACCGUGUUAGCCAGGAUGGUCUUGAUCUUCUGACCUCGUGAUCCACCCGCCUCGGCCUCCCAAAGUGCUGGGAUUACAGGUGUGAGCCACCGCGCCUGGCCGAGCCACUUCUUCCAUCAGCCCGAUUCCUUACCUUUUUGGCCUUUUUUUCUCACCACUGGGUCCUUGUCUUAUCUCUGCUUCCCUAAUUCUGGUUUUCUAUUCUUCAGUAAAUGUCCUACUCCAUCUCACUUGGUUCUGAGAUCUUUCUCUCCUGGUGCUGUCUCCAUUGUAGAGAACUGGCCAUAUAUUCCUUGACACUGUCAGUCAGACUCAGAGAAAGUCUAGCUCUGUUGUUUGUUCUCACCUUUAAGACAUUGCCUCUGAGUGUCUGGUUCUAAACAAUGCCCUGUCUCUCUUGAUUCUUCCAGAUGCCCCAUGUGGAAUUAUUCAGCCAUCAUUAGUCUGGGCCAGGGUGGCUUCUGCACCUGUCUUCAUCCUCAGAUAUUUUCAGCUUUAUCUUGUUGUUUAUAUCAGAAACCCUUGUUGUUGAUGAUGUUCUUUUCUAAAUGUAGACUGCAAUGGUUCUCAAUCAUGACUGGCGUUAAAAUCUCCUGAAGAAAAAAAGAGAAUGCUUACAUACUAUUGGCGGUAAUGUAAAUUAGUUCAUCCACUGUGGAAAGCAGUUUGGAGAUUUCUCUAAGAACUAAAAACAGAACUACAAUUUGAUCCAGCAAUUUCUUUACUGGGUGUAUAUCCAAAGAAAAUAAGUCAUUCUAUGAAAAAAAUAUACGCACUUGUACAUUCAUUGUAGCACUAUUCACCAUAGCAAAGACAUGAAAUCAACCUAUGUGUCCAUCAAUGGGACUGGAUAAAAAACAUGUGGUACAUGUACACCAUGGAAUACUAUACAGCCAUAAAAAAGAAUGAAAUCAUGUCCUUUCCAGCAACACAAAUUCAGUUAGAGGCCAUCAUCCUAAGCAAAUUAACUCAGGAACAGGAAACCAAAUAUUGCAUCUUCUAACUUAUAAGUGGGAGUUUAAUAUUUGGCACUCAUGGACAUGAAGAUGAGAACAAUAAACACUGGGGACUACUAAAAGGGAUGGGAGGAGAGUGAGCAUAGAAAAACUAGCUGUUGGGUACUAUGCUCACUACCUGUGUGAUGGGAUCAUUUGUAUCUCAAACUCCGCAUCAAGCAAUAUAACCAUAUCACAGACUUACAUGUGUACCCUCUGAAUCUAAAAUAAAAGGUGAAAUGGUUAAAAAAUAAUAUCUCCUGGAAACAUUGAAAAAUAGUCAGAUGCCCAGAUCCUAUUCCAGAUCAGUCAUAAAUAUUUAUGAAAAGCUUCCAGUUGAUUUUCCUGAGUAUCUAGGGGAUAGAACCAAUUGUAUUCAGUGAGGGCCAAGAAAAUUGUAAUGCUGUGCCCACUAAACAAAAACCAUCUGGGAGCCAGAUUCACACUAGGGUGGCCAGUUUGUGACCUCUGACUAGAGGGUGUGUUGACGGUCUUGCUGGGAAGCCAGGGGCUUUGUUUGUGUACUCCCACAAGAUCCUCCAGAUGGGUAAAGGAAACAGUGAGCAGAGAAUUCAGAAGCAAUUAGCUAGUGCAUACGCUUCCAGGGCAGCCCUGCUCCAAGAGGACAUCUGAUAACCUGCAGAUAAUUAUAAGUUUAUGGCGAACAAACUAUUGCUGAAAGAUGGCAUCGUGCACAGCUGUUGUUUAGACAAACCCGCUGUAGAGUUUUGGACUUGGCACUAGGAAUCCCUAACCGUGGCUAAACAGAAAAACUCUGUUUGUGCAGAUGGAAAUUCAAGAUAGAAUGAGUGUCAAAGCUUUAAGAACAAAAGAAACAGAAGCUUGUCUGUUUUGAAAAGAAUAAAAGUGCUGGUGUAUAGUGAUAUAGUUCUUAAUCUACACAUGUGAAUGUCCAUAUGCUACUGCAGUUGUUAACUCCAAAUCCAACAUUAAGAAAAUGGAUUUGAUCUUUGCAUUAGUGUGUAGAGCAAGAUUCUCAAACUGAGUAAAUUAUAAUUGCUUUCCAAUCUAUCUCCCUUAACAUGUUUAUACAUAGUGUUUAUAAGAGGUGCUAAUAAUAUACAUAGCAAGUGCUUUCUGAUUUCUUUUUAACAUUUUAACAUAGCUGUUUAAGAAAUUUUAAUAUAAUCUCUGCUAUGCUGAUUAACUGAUAGAAAUGGUAUUAAUGACUUUUUAAGAUUUUAGUUCAUUCUAUUCAUAAGCCAGAUGCACAAGGAUUAAACUGUAUCCAUAGUCUUGAGGAAUCCAUAAUCAAAGAAAAUUUAAUAUUUAAAAUUGGAAGUAUUUAAAAAAAUUUAUCAGUAUUCCAGCCUCAUUCUAAUUGGUGAUUCAACUUAUUGGGGGUAAGAGCACCCAGUGGGGCACAUGGGGUCUGUCAGUCCUUGAGAUACACACAGACCUUUUUGAAUCCCGGCUUCAUCACCCACACAUUAUGUGACUCCAGGCAAUCACUCGACCUCUCCCACUGAGUGUCUAAAAAUAUCACAAUACCUGCUUUCCCAGCUGAUUUUUGUUAUAAUCAGAAACUGUAAAUAUAAAGCAUAUCAUAUACAAGGUACUGAGUGCACACUCUGAGCAGAUACUUGGUUAAGUGCAAGGCAAAGAACAAGAAGCGCAGGGUACAGUCUGUCUUCUAGCAGCUGACAAUAUAUUUGAGACAAUAUAGGCAAAUGAUUAAAAGGAAAUUAAUUAAAAAUACAGGGUACUUGCAUUAAGUAUUUAAGUUCAGAUGAGAUAUCUAUCUUUUAUAAUUUGUGUAUCUUGCAUCUAAUAUGCCGUAAAGUUUCCUGUUAUUAAAUAGAUCCUUUAACCCUCACCCUAACUCUAACCUCAUGUGUAAAAAAUAUAUAGUUUAAUUUCAUCCUUAACAUAAUCAUUAAGAGACAUCACUUUAUUGAUAAGAAGUAAGUUAAAAAUUUUAUCGUAACGGUGAGAUAUGUAAUUCAUCUAUGUCAUUAGUCAGAGGUUCAAAUAUGAAUCAACUAAAUGCUAUUUGUAAUACAGAUGGGAUUAAUAAUUCCAUCUAUAUGUUAAUAAUAUUAGCCUUGAGACAGGCGAACUGCAACUGUCAAUCUGCUGGUAUCUCAGGCCAAGUGGGUUGAGAUCUAGAGCAAGUAAGCCCCAAAGUGUGCGUAUAAGUCAGGUUUCCAUAACUACCAGUGGUUUGGUAGGCAGGCUACUUUCCAAGGACUGAUCUUCAGUACAAAGGUGGUCAAAAGGCUGCUGGAGCAAAAGGUAGGUGUGAAUCAUCCUAGGUGCUAGUCAGAGUCAAUAAAAUUAAUAUAACCAAAAACAGAGCAGGGAUUCUGGACAUACAAAUUCAGACAGAAAAUAGGAGGUUUAAUUUCUUUCCUUUUCUGUGAAAUUGGCCUAAAAUGAAAACUUUUCAUUUUGCAUUAAUGACAGUCUAAUAUUAAUGAUGGGUAAAUUUCAUGACACUUUCACAAAGAUAGACUUUAUCUUCAUAAAAUUAUUAAACUUGGUUAUAACAUUAGCGAGUGUUCAGUCAGUGAGGUUAUGGGUAUAUGUUUUCUAUGUUAGAUUUUUGAAGAUAAACCUCCAAAGAUAGAUUUAAAUCUAUGGUUAAAGGUAAUGUCAUAGAUAAGUGACAUGAUUCAUGGUCAUCUCAAUUUUUGCUGUGUCCUCAUGAUACAAAUUGCUUUGACCACUUUAAUUAAAAUGGUGUUCAAUAAAAUAUUGGGGGCUCUAUAAACUAAGCUUUUUGAUGUAGUAUAGAGCAAAAAAAGAAAAAAAAAAGAUAGGCUAUGCUUUUCUUUCAUUUUGCAGCCACAACAAGAAUUCUGUAUCUCAAAAUUUGAAGACUCAUGGAUACUCAUGAGUACAUGAAUAGUAUGGAACUCAGGACACACAGAUUUUCUUCAAAGAUACAAUUUCUGAAAGCCUGGAGGUCUUUAAAGACAAUAAAAUAAUCCCUUAAAGUAUUUUUCUUUAAUUGUCUGAACAAAAAUGUGUUGUGCUCUUAGAGGAGACACUUUUAAUGUCUGAAGAACAUAUGAAACCCAGUGCCUUAGAACAAAUUCGAAUUCAGAGGGAAGGUAACUUUAUUUGGAAGUUAUAGUGUCCUGAAACUAACCGAACUUGUGGAAAACAAGCAGCCUUCUUUCCCUUGGAAGGCCUUUGGGAAAAUAUGUCUACAAGUGUCCCUGUGGAGUCAGUAUUUCGGAGACAACAUAGGAACCACAUGUCCUUUUCCUUGCCUGUCCAGCGAUGUCUAAUGUGGGUGUUCAUUGAGCCUGACAACCAGAGUGUCCUUAAAAGCAGCUGAUCUCAUUCUCUGUGGGCGCUGAGUUCCUCGUUCUCAAAGUCAGAAGUCAUGGAUGAGUCCAGAAGCUCCAGCCCUGCCCCAUGACCCACCUCUCUGCCUGACAGUCUCGGUGAGAGAGCCAGAGCCAGAGCCCUCAGACCCCUGCUGCCAUCAAGCAGCGGAACAGCCUCUUUUGUUAUCAGACGGCUCCAAGAAUGCGGAUGCAGCAGUUAGCUCACUCUCUUAAGCCUCUUGUGGUUAACAUGAAUAGCAUUCUUUCAAUUGCUGCCGAUAUGAAAUAUCCUAAGUCUUCAAGUCAACAAUUAAAAACUCAAGGUCAUAUUUUUACAGGAGAUACUGAAAAUAUUUGCAUUUGGGAGGUAAAACAUUUUAAAUUGGAGUGGUAUGUGUAUUUAUUCUGCAUCUAGAUGUUGUAAAAUGAAGUAGAGGUUUGUCAGUUAUUCAGGUUUUAUGAGGCUGGAGAAAGUCAAGACAGAUGAUAUGCUCCCCAAAUAAGAUCGAUCUAUCUAUCUAUCUAUCUAUCUAUCUAUCUAUCUAUCUAUCUAUCAUCUAUCUGUCAUCUAUCUAUCAUCUAUCAUCUAUCUAUCUAUCUAUCUAUC